ACACAUGCAAGUCGAACGAGAGAGAGGGAGCUUGCUUCCUCAAUCGAGUGGCGAACGGGUGAGUAACGCGUGAGGAACCUGCCUCAAAGAGGGGGACAGCAGUUGGAAACGACUGCUAAUACCGCAUAAGCCCACGGGUCGGCAUCGACCAGAGGGAAAAGGAGCAAUCCGCUUUGAGAUGGCCUCGCGUCCGAUUAGCUAGUUGGUGAGGUAAUGGCCCACCAAGGCAACGAUCGGUAGCCGGACUGAGAGGUUGAACGGCCACAUUGGGACUGAGACACGGCCCAGACUCCUACGGGAGGCAGCAGUGGGGAAUAUUGCACAAUGGGGGAAACCCUGAUGCAGCGACGCCGCGUGGAGGAAGAAGGUCUUCGGAUUGUAAACUCCUGUUGUUGAGGAAGAUAAUGACGGUACUCAACAAGGAAGUGACGGCUAACUACGUGCCAGCAGCCGCGGUAAAACGUAGGUCACAAGCGUUGUCCGGAAUUACUGGGUGUAAAGGGAGCGCAGGCGGGAAGACAAGUUGGAAGUGAAAUCUAUGGGCUCAACCCAUAAACUGCUUUCAAAACUGUUUUUCUUGAGUAGUGCAGAGGUAGGCGGAAUUCCCGGUGUAGCGGUGGAAUGCGUAGAUAUCGGGAGGAACACCAGUGGCGAAGGCGGCCUACUGGGCACCAACUGACGCUGAGGCUCGAAAGUGUGGGUAGCAAACAGGAUUAGAUACCCUGGUAGUCCACACCGUAAACGAUGAUUACUAGGUGUUGGAGGAUUGACCCCUUCAGUGCCGCAGUUAACACAAUAAGUAAUCCACCUGGGGAGUACGACCGCAAGGUUGAAACUCAAAGGAAUUGACGGGGGCCCGCACAAGCAGUGGAGUAUGUGGUUUAAUUCGACGCAACGCGAAGAACCUUACCAAGUCUUG
rnacentral:rRNA from 1 species